UACGUAGGGUGCAAGCGUUGUCCGGAUUUAUUGGGUUUAAAGGGUGCGUAGGUGGCUGAUUAAGUCAUGGGUGAAAGCCCGCAGCUCAACUGUGGAAUUGCCUGUGAUACUGAUUAGCUUGAGUGCGGUUGAGGCAGCUGGAAUUGGUGGUGUAGCGGUGAAAUGCAUAGAUACCACCAGGAACACCGAUUGCGAAGGCAGGUUGCUAAGCCGUAACUGACACUGCGGCACGAAAGCGUGGGGAGCACUCAGG
rnacentral:rRNA from 1 species